rnacentral:lncRNA from 1 species
UUUUUCCCUCUAGUGUUUUAAAAGGCAGCAGACACACAGUUACCUGAAGUAUUUUUUGGUCUCAUCUAACACCUAGGAAAACCCAGGCUACACUUCACUGAAAUCAAUGGAGACAGACCCGUGCAAAGAGGGAAAUAAUGCUUUUAGUAUUUGGAUGUGUCUAAGGGUUGUGUUUAACCACAGCUGUUUUACUAGACUGUGACUGAACAAGCCUAAUUUUACCUGCUUACUAUGUUCAGUACAACGUACUGCCUUUGUGCACCUACAUUUGGAAAAUAAAUUACUUUUACUUAAACACUGUCCUGUUCAAUAUCUGAAGCUGGCUGAGGAAAUUCCUUCCAUCAUUAGUACCUCCUGCAUUGUCAUUAGCCACUGCUCAAUCUUUUUCAGUCUUGACACCUUUAAAUUUUACCUUUCUGCAGCUCCAGUCCCCUGUUAGGCUGUCUGUUCCCCACUGGAUGGCAGUCCCUGCAAUGUUAUUCACUCUGGGAAGGAAAGUCCAGCUUUGAAGCAGCAAGCUGAAAUCUCAGACUGCUCUGUAGAUGAAUAUGUACGUGAAAUGCCACAGCUGCAAAAUGAGAAGUUCACUAAGUGUUUUGCCCGAAUAAAGACAGGAAAAAGGUGCCCAGACAGUGAAUUCACUCGCACACCACCUGGAUCAGCCACCCAAAGGCAAAAUGGUAAUUCCCUUCACAGCCCCAUGUGUAUCCAGGGUAAUUUCAGAAACCUGUAGCACCAUCCUAGCCUAACAGGAACCCAACUUUGCUGCUCUGUGAAUCGAGGAAACCUCUAAAUGGAACAUGGUUCAUUGAAAGUGAAAUUUCCUUGGUGCCAUCUUUGAGUCAUGGGUACCUCCUCUUCAACAUCAUCUGCAAAAUUCUGUGCAAGGCAACAACUUAUUUAAUGUUGCAUGAUAUAAGCAUAGAGGAGAGACUGCAACUGGGAUGUUGACACUGCUGUUGCAGAUUGUACAGGAAGUAAAUUAUGCAGACAUAGAUACUUAAUGCAGCAGUAAUAAUGUUAGUUAGAAAGCCUCACUUUGAAUUUGAAAAGAAAAUAGAAGACACCAGAGUAAGGAGAUUGGCCAAAAGACCCUAUCAACUGUUAGUCUGUGUAAGCCAGAGUCCUAUUAGUCUCCAGCUAUGCUUCUGAGUCAGCUUGCUGGAUUAGGAGUGCCAGAUCCUGCUUUGCCUCUUAGUGCAUGUCAAUAUUGGAACAAGCCAUAAAAAGGCAGGUUCUGUUUCACAAAUACCUCCGAGUCUUUCAAAACUUCUGAAACCUUCUGAAACUUGUAACCAGCUAUGGCUGUUGAAACCUCUGCUUGCAGAGUGGAAAGGUCAGUCUCUCUAUUUAAGUGUAUCUCUUUUAUGUACACUGGACUUGCAAAAUCUAGUCAAAAACGUUGAAACUGAUAAUUUGAACAAAUGUGUUUGGUUUGACAAAGCAGUUUCUGAAGUAAAAUCUAUUCUUUAAACAGUCUUGCUGUAGUUCCAACAUAAUAAUAAGGCAGCUAAGAGGCAUGGCUCUCUCAUUUAAAGAGUCCUGCACAGAACAGGAUUUUUGUAGUGACUCCUUCUCACCACAUCUCAGUCCAAUGUGUCUCUCUGUGGGCCUGGAACUGGUUGUGUGGUUUUGGAACUGUUUUGAUCAGAAAUUUUAUUGGCAGGUCAUUCCUGCAUGAGGGCUGUUGAUGUACCUCUGCCCUGUACCUUAUGGAACUAUUAUUAAACUCUUUUCAGACAAGACACGGGCUUUUACUCUCCUGGUAAUUACGUUCCUAGU